UUGUUUAGCUCUACUUGUUGGCGUUGGAAGGUCGAAGGCAAGCUCUCACAAGAGGGCAAUUAAUAAUUGAGAUAGCCUUGUGAUGAAUAAAGGAUUUACGCCGUUCACCAGAAAAGAGAAGAGAAAGAACCGAGAUCCCAUUUGCAUUGAGAGCUAGCUAGCUAGAAGAGAAAAGAAGAACGAAAAGGAAGAAGAAACGAACAUCCAGUUAUUAUUUAUUAUUAUAUUGUGUUGUUAUCUAAAAAAAAGGGGAAGAAAAGAAGAAUUGUUUUGUUUAUAGCAGCUACUGUGACGUCAUAGUGAUCGCGUCUAUCUCUAAAUAAAUGGGGACUACGGAGAUGGUGAAUAUGCCUGGAGAUCAUCCAGGCUCUUCAACCUCCUGUUCCUUGAAUAUGGAGUGCGAGGAGGAGCCCUUAACCAGAGCACAGCUAUCCUUCGCAGAUCAAAGAAAGAUUCAAUUUCAGAGUCAAAUGUUGGAACUCGAGAAGCUCUCGUCCAAAGCCUCCAAGUUUUUGAUUGACUCUAACACUGCGGUUAUUUCCGUACCUGAACCCACAACUGUUGUGAAUAAACUUAUGCCUCAAAUGAUCCCAGUUCAGUCUCCGUCUGGGAAUCGUAAAAAUCAGCCUCGAUAUAGAUUAAUCAUGGAUCCGAAUUCUGGAAGAGUUAUUGGCACCGUGGAUUCCACUGGAGGUACUGACCAUGUGUUUAAACCUGUUCCAUCAAGUCCUUCAAUUUCCACAAAAAAAGUUCAUGCAGUUUCACCCUCCAUCUCCCUACCCCUAAAUCAACUUCCACUCCAACCCCAAAUACCUUUGCCAACAUCUCAAAUACCACCUCCCACUCCUAUUAACACUUCUCCAAUACCUAUUUCUCCUCCUCUUCCCACUUAUCGACCUCCUAUGAAACAAAUCCUUCAAUUUCGUCAACCCCCACCACCUCUUCUACCUUUAAAACAACAGCCAAUUCCUCUUUCCACAGUUUCUCAGCACACUAAGACAACAUUUCCUCCUGUCUCUAAUACACUUGCCACAACAGUCAAACAAGAUCAGAUAUCCGAUAAGUCAAAUUCUGACAAAAUACCAGCAUACAAUAUUCCUCCAACUCUUUCCGUCCUUCCCAAAUCUAUGAAAAAUCUUCCACCAUCUCAAGCCGCUGCAAUUCGCAAACAACUAGACACAAAGGUGAAGGGUCUCCUUGUGCGUAACCCAGCAAAGUUUACUGAAUUUUUAAUUCGUCAAGGCUUAAUUCCAAAAACUCGCUAUAAAGUAAACCCUGAGACGGGUAAGAAAGUAGAAUUAAAACUAGGAAUGUACUCUGGUGAAAAUAAAUUUCCUCGUUCUGGAGGAUACGUUUGGAUCAAUGAAAGAGAGCCUACAGUUUUUUAUUCUGUUUUUGAUGCCUCAAUAUUUCAAGCAAGUGAAAUGCCUCCAAUAACUGUAUUGAAACUCAUAUAUCACUGGUCAUGUCAGACGAAUAUACAAAAUAUCGUGCAAUGGGUGAAAGUGGAUAUUAAAAAAGUUGAUUUAUAUUUCAAAAUUCUUCGAUCCAUUUGUACUAUAAGCAUUGAUGAUAGUUUUCAGAAAAUGGGUGGAUUAAAAAAGAAGAUACAAAUUGGUGUUAUAUCUCUUGGCACAACGUCUAGUGAUGGAUCAAGAAAAGAGGUUAAAGUUGAAGUUCUUGGAAUACUUGAAGUUGAAACCUGCAAAAUUAGACUCAGAGCAACUCAACCUACGGUCGGUGUAACACAAGCUGAAAGAUUUGCUCGUAUAUUUAAAUGCCUGCCUGGAUGGGUUGUUGAUUCUUCCAUAAUCGUAACAGACUUUUCUGUUGAUCGGGAGCAACUUACGAUGUUGGGCUUUAAAGACGUUUUACAAAGUAGUGCAACCUCGAAAAAGAGCACUCUUGGUAAUGGUGUUAUUAUGGAUUAUUUGAAACGCAUAGUUCCUAAAAUGUUUCAAACUAACCUUUCACGGCUCAGUGCACAACAAGUUCAACAAUUUCUUGAUGAGCUUACCUUCCGAGAGUUAGGCUACCAUCCAUUAUCUUGCUUCGAUAAUAUUUUAAAAGAGAUAGCGCAUAUUACUAGAGUUGCGAAGGAGGAUGGCAUGGAUCUCCUGGAUUUACUUAAUAAGGUUGAAAAGAAUCCUUUCAAAUCAUGGAAACACAAAGGAGAGGAGAAUGUUACUCAGCAUGAUUCAAAAGAUCAAAAGACUGAUAGUUCAGUUCCUAAAAAUGUUGGAAUGAAACGAAGUUCCAAUUCAGAUUCUGACUCUGACUUAAAAGUAACUAAAAAAGCCAAGUUAUCUACUAAUAUAGAGUUAGUUGAUCUACAGACCUAUUUUUACGGAACACUACAAGGGGACGAGGAGAUACUCAGAAACGAAUUCAAAGCUGAUAUGGCUUUCAAGUGCCAUUUCUGUCGUAAAGUUUACUUUAAUAAUCUGGAUUUCAUGGCCCAUUUGUGUCUCCAUAUCGGUUAUGAUAAAAAAUCUAAUGUAGACUUUUCCGAUUUGAACCAUUGCAAAUAUUGUUGUAAGAAUUUUGAAACAACCACAGCCUUAGAGAGACAUAUUUAUGUUAGUCACAUGAGAAAAAAUUGCGAAUGUAUGUGUCAAAUAUGUGUUGAAGGUUUCAAGUCAGAAAAUUAUUUAGCACUUCAUAUGUUAAAAACUCAUAUUCGUAGCGAAUUACCUUACAUGUGCAAUGUCUGUGGAUUUAGAUCCUCUUUUCAUAAGAAUCUUGUGGAUCAUUUUCAUCAGGAACACGAUAGAACUGAUAAAUUACAAUGUCCGAUAUGUCUGAAAUUGUACUCUCUCAUGGGUGAAAAGGGCUAUAAUUCUACUAUUGCUUCUGCUUUUGCAAACCAUAUCCAAUCCCAUUUGACCGGCAAAACCUUCUCCUGUAAAAGAUGUAACCUCAAUUUCCUACAAGAUGCAUAUCUAAGGAAUCACAUCAUGCGGGAUCAUGCUUCCUUUAAGGAAUUCGAAAACUUAAGUGCGUAUGUUUACCAAGAAGAUGAAAAACCUAUACGAAUGACAAAGCCUGAAGACCGCAUUGCGCGAAAUGCAAUUAGGAAAACUGGAGUACUAAAGCUACAACCCCAAUCGGCAUUUGCCGCUCAGAACUUGGAAGAUAUGCUUAUGUAUAAUAUUUAUAAGGAAGACUGCUGUGAGUGUAAUAAGAAAAUGACGAAUCCUGGACAUUAUGCCGCCUAUUUGUGUUGUACAAAAUGCCGGUAUUCAACGUGUUGUUCUAGAGCUAUAUCAAUACAUUACUCAUUAUUUCACGGACAUUUCAAAGGAAUGUAUACAUUAGGAACUCCAUGUAUUCUAAAUGAUAAUAUAUUUUGUGUCUGUGGAUUCAAAACCAAUUCUGGAAACAAAAUGGCGAAACAUUUGAGUGCUAAUUUUUGUAAAACAGCUUAUCCUUCAAAAAAAGCUGCAAAGACCGCUAUUCGAGGACCUAAUGAAGAAAAAAGUAAUCUAAAUAAGCGAAUUCAUCCAAACAAGAGCUCAAGGAUGGAAGAAGGUAUACUGCUUUCUGAGACUCAAACCAAAGAACACAAAUCCCCGUCCAUGGAUAUAAGCGAAAAUCAUAAAAUUGAGUCUGUGUCUUCAAUAGACAAAAAUCCAUCAAAUGGAAAUGAAUCUGAUGGGAACUCCGGGAAGCAUUUUCAUCCAGUCAUUGAAAAUAUUCAGUCGCAACUUCCAGAAGAAGAUUUAGAGUCCGCCGUUGAAAAGUUGGGAAUACUACGAGCAUUACUAUCCUAAUGCAACUCAAAACUAUGGAUUGUCUGGACUUUAGGUUUGCAAUAUUGGUGUGAAGGACUCAGCAGGCUUUGGACUCUACUUGUGACAAGAGCGGGAUCCGGGGGUUUAAAGUUUGGAAAUUAAUGUGAAUAAGGAAUACAAAAUACUAUUUUAAUUUAGUAUAUGAACAGGAUUUUAAUUUUUCGAAAAUUCGUUUGGUUGGAUACUACCUGAUUCUUUGUAGUUUUUACUGAACAUGAAUAUGCUUAUUUUUGUAUCAAGUCGAAAAAGUGGAAAAAAUAUCAAGAGCUUCACCUUUUCAAAAAGGUUAAUUGCAUUCGCGCUUAAUAUGGGGAAGAUCUUCGAAUUAAACUUAUAAAUUAUAAUUUAUGUGUUUAAUCUUUUUAUUUAUAAAUAUUUGUAGCUGUUGUAAACACCAUUCAAAGCUUUGAUCAAUGUGUAAAUACAUUUUAUUAGUUUGA
rnacentral:misc_RNA from 1 species